rnacentral:lncRNA from 1 species
UUCGUUAGGACGAAAGUGGUCCUAGAAUGGAGGUAGAGCAUAGCUUUCACAGACUCGAGGUUCAUCUAGUGAGAACUUCGAGGAGUUUGGUUAGGGCUUCAGAUACUUGGGAUGUAAAGUGGAGAGAGAAAUCAAGCAAAAAAAAUCUACCAUUAGUGGAGUUGGCUCGGAUCCUGAAGGAGUCAACUCGGAUCAGCUUGAGUCGAUUCAGACCCUAAGAGAGCCGACUCGAAGGCCAAAUAUGAAGCAACAUUUUAUGGCAUACUACUGGCACAGCAGUCGAGC